UACGAAGGGGGCUAGCGUUGUUCGGAAUUACUGGGCGUAAAGCGCACGUAGGCGGAUAUUUAAGUCAGGGGUGAAAUCCCAGAGCUCAACUCUGGAACUGCCUUUGAUACUGGGUAUCUUGAGUAUGGAAGAGGUGAGUGGAACUCCGAGUGUAGAGGUGAAAUUCGUAGAUAUUCGGAAGAACACCAGUGGCGAAGGCGGCUCACUGGCCCGGUACUGACGCUGAUGUGCGAAAGCGUGGGGAGCAAACAGG
rnacentral:rRNA from 1 species